rnacentral:tRNA from 1 species
GGGGGUAUAGCUCAGUGGUAGAGCAUUUGACUGCAGAUCAAGAGGUCCCCAGUUCAACUCUGGGUGCCCCUG